rnacentral:rRNA from 1 species
UGGGGAAUUUUGGACAAUGGGGGAAACCCUGAUCCAGCCAUCCCGCGUGUGCGAUGAAGGCCUUCGGGUUGUAAAGCACUUUUGGCAGGAAAGAAACGUCGCGGGUUAAUACCCCGCGAAACUGACGGUACCUGCAGAAUAAGCACCGGCUAACUACGUGCCAGCAGCCGCGGUAAUACGUAGGGUGCAAGCGUUAAUCGGAAUUACUGGGCGUAAAGCGUGCGCAGGCGGUUCGGAAAGAAAGAUGUGAAAUCCCAGAGCUUAACUUUGGAACUGCAUUUUUAACUACCGGGCUAGAGUGUGUCAGAGGGAGGUGGAAUUCCGCGUGUAGCAGUGAAAUGCGUAGAUAUGCGGAGGAACACC